rnacentral:misc_RNA from 1 species
GAUGAAGAACGUAGCGAAAUGCGAUAAGUAAUGUGAAUUGCAGAAUUCAGUGAAUCAUCGAAUCUUUGAACGCACAUUGCGCCCGCCAGUAUUCUGGCGGGCAUGCCUGUUCGAGCGUCAUUUCAACCAUCAAGCCCCAGGCUUGUGUUGGGGACCUGCGGCUGCCGCAGGCCCUGAAAACCAGUGGCGGGCUCGCUGUCACACCGGGCGUAGUAGAUUUUAUCUCGCUCAGGGCGUGCUGCGGGUUCCGGCCGUUAAAAAGCCUUUUUUACCCAAGGUUGACCUCGGAUCAGGUAGGGAUACCCGCUGAACUUAAGCAUAUCAAUAAGCGGAGGA